GGGUAUGAACCUGGGGUCCCUAGGGAAGAACCGUGAAGCCAGAGCUGUACUCCACAUGUGUCGGGCACGGAGAGCCCUGUGGGGACACAGGGUUUCCCUUAGACCAAGGCCACCCGGCCACCCAGGCAUGGGGCUCUGAGGGGCAGGGCAAGGUCUGACCGUGGCCAAGCCCUGCAGCAGCCUCCUGGAGCAGUGGCCGCUCUUCAAGGGUUCUGGUCCCGCCCUGAGACAGAGCCACCCCCUUCCCUGUCAUGUGCAGAUGGCUUCCGGAAAGUCGUCCACAUCGAGCAGGGCGGCCUGGUCAAGCCAGAGAGAGACGACACGGAGUUCCAGCACCCAUGCUUCCUGCGUGGCCAGGAGCAGCUCCUUGAGAACAUCAAGAGGAAAGUGACCAGUGUGUCCACCCUGAAGAGUGAAGACAUAAAGAUCCGCCAGGACAGCGUCACCAAGCUGCUGACAGACGUGCAGCUGAUGAAGGGGAAGCAGGAGUGCAUGGACUCCAAGCUCCUGGCCAUGAAGCAUGAGAAUGAGGCUCUGUGGCGGGAGGUGGCCAGCCUUCGGCAGAAGCAUGCCCAGCAACAGAAAGUCGUCAACAAGGUGGGGGCAGGGCCAGAGGGCCGGCGGGGGCCCCACAAGGGCCAGGGUGACUGUGUCCUUUCUCCCCACAGCUCAUUCAGUUCCUGAUCUCACUGGUGCAGUCAAACCGGAUCCUGGGGGUGAAGAGAAAGAU
rnacentral:sRNA from 1 species